UGGGCUCGAAAUGUAGUGGAAUCCGGUGGAAACAUCGGCGCCUAGCAAUAGGCCGCUAUAU
rnacentral:rRNA from 1 species